AUGUCCCCUGCAUCUCUGCUGCUGCUGCUGGCAGCUGCCUCCUGUGUUCACUGUCAGGUCGUACUCACACAGGCUGAACAGUCAGUCCAAGGGACCCCCGUGGGACCCCUCAAACUCACAUGUGCCUGUAGUGGAUUUCCUCUAAGCAGCACUAAUAUGUACUGGAUCCGCCAGGCACCUGGAAAAGGACUUGAAUGGAUCAUUUACUAUCAUUCUGACACUUACAAGAGCAAUGCCCCAGUUGUACAGGGCAGAUUCACAGCAUCAAAGGAGAGCACUAAUUUCUAUCUGCACAUGAGCCAGUUGAAGCCAGAGGACUCUGCAGUGUAUUACUGUGCUAGAGACUCACUAUGGUUAAACUAAUGAGAAUAGCUGU